rnacentral:rRNA from 1 species
AGUGAACGCUGGCGGCAGGCCUAAUACAUGCAAGUCGAACGGCAGCACAGCAGAGCUUGCUCUGUGGGUGGCGAGUGGCGGACGGGUGAGGAAUACGUGGGAAUCUGCCCAGUCGUGGGGAUAACGUAGGGAAACUUACGCUAAUACCGCAUGCGCCUUCGGGGAAAGCCGGGGACCUUCGGGCCUGGCGCGGAAUUGGAUGAGCCCACGUCGGAUUAGCUAGUUGGCGGGGUAAAGGCCCACCAAGGCGACGAUCCGUAGCUGGUCUGAGAGGAUGAUCAGCCACACUGGAACUGAGACACGGUCCAGACUCCUACGGGAGGCAGCAGUAGGGAAUAUUGGACAAUGGGCGCAAGCCUGAUCCAGCCAUGCCGCGUGAGUGAAGAAGGCCCUCGGGUUG